GCUCGCAACUUAAUACCAGCGAGAUGUUCUGGAUAGAUAUCUCAAGAUGGAUGAUUAGUAAGUAGAUGAUGAUGAAUAAAUGGUCUACUUGUCUUCGCGUACUGCCCAUUAGUUUUGAGCCUCUAACUUUCUAGUAGCAUGAUUAGCAUUGUGUUGCGUUUAUAAUUCUGUCAAUUGCCCAACUGUAAUUUGUUUACCCAAGCAUAGUUGUUUAUCGUCUUUUGGGGGAGAGACAUCACUAGUGAACAUCAUGUGACUCAGGUCCAUAUUACCACCAUUGUUUACACCUCCAUCAUUUACUGCUUUAUUUACUUUUCCGUUGCAAUCACUAUCACUUUUCCCGCUUGUGAUUUGAUCCUUUGCAAACUAUAAGGCCGGAGAGAUUGACAACCUCUCUGUACUCGUUGGGAGCAAAGUUAUUUGUUGUGUGUGCAAGUCCACGUCUUCUGCUAGCGCGAGAGCAGCGGACACCUACUUGUUGAUCCUUGGAGUCCUCCUGGUUCAAUAAACCUUACCGUCCCCGUGUAAGGGAAAUCUGCUGCCGACUACAUCUCCACCUUCCAUUUCGGGUAACCAAUGAGGGGCGACAAGUAUAUCCAUCAACUCGUCAUCAGGAGGCACCGGCGAGAGGCGUGACAGUAGACCGCAUUAGGGCCUCCCAUCCACACAUGUGUGGUUGCACUAGUGAGCUCAAUUUGGUGGCACCAUGACUCGAUCAACAGAUUGUUCAAGUUGAAUUAUCAUCAGGUUUAACUUGAAAAUAAAAUGGUUUGAGUCAUAGAAUGAAGUGAGGUUCAUGGAUCAUGAUGAAAAUGCAACAAUAUGCAUCACAACAAUAUGAGCAUAAGAAACUAUUGCACCAAUGUAACCAUGGCAUGGAUCAUGACUUUCAUGAGUACUAUAUGAUUAGCGUACUAGAAUGGCAUGAAAUGAGUGAAUCAUAUUUCACAUAAUAUAAUAGGUUAUUUAGUAAUUAUGCAUAUGGAAUGAUAUUUUAAUUCAAAUAAACCAUUGCCAUUGCAAUGCCAUCCUUGCAAACGAAUGUUGUGGCUUGCCUUAGUUUAGAGGAGUGUCACAAUACUCUUGGUCCUCCAAGGCAAUUAUUUUCUUCUGAAAAUAAUUUAAACAUAAAAAUAUAAUGUCACAUAAAGCUUUUUAUUACACCAGAAAUUCUACACAACAAGGAAAAUUCUCAAAUUUUGUAGGCAAAAAGGUUAGACCAAUACAAAACUAAUGCAAAAAGUAUCAACUCAAUUGGACAUAUGGUUUAAAAGUUAGAGCUGGUCAAAGUCUGGUAAAAAUAUUUGAAUUUAAACAAAAAAUAAGAAAUUCCAGAGGAGGCCAUGUCGAAGGCGUAUUUUUGUCGGGCUCCUCCACUUAUACCGCUUCUGGCGCGGGACAGAGAGAGAGGGAGAGAGGCUGUCAGUGAGGUCCCACCGUGAGAGAGAGAGAGAGAGAGAGCAUUACGGCUCUGUCAUCGGUGGUUCUCCAACUAGGAGGCCACGACGAUCACCAGGAAGAGGGUGAAUGGGUCCAGCAUGUCACGACGGUCAUGCAUAUACCCAAAAGGGUGGCUGAGGUGGAUGGACGGCGUCAGAAUGGAGCUCUCCAGAGACGACGGGUGGUGGAGCUCACCGGAGUUGAGGAAGAAGGUGUCAAUCCGUCGAGCUAGCAGCUCCGUUGUGCCGAGGAGAUCACCAGGAGCUCGUCUGAGGAGGAGAGAGACGACAAAGAGCACCAGAGCGGGUGGGUGGUCGUGGUGGAUCUGCGGCCAACUCCGAUGAGGUCCGAAGGUUGGAGGCCCUCUCGGCCUGGACCCGAGCUAUGCAGGUCGAUUUGAGGCCACGUGAGGAGUUGUGGCUGACUAGAACAGCCCGGGAGCAUAUCUAUUUAUAGGGAAUGAAGUGAUUGAUCUCUAGUUCCGUUGGGGAUGAGAUGCAGGAGGGAGGAGGGGGGAGAGGG
rnacentral:lncRNA from 1 species